GUAGGUGGCAAGCGUUGUCCGGAAUUAUUGGGCGUAAAGCGCGCGCAGGCGGUCCUUUAAGUCUGAUGUGAAAGCCCACGGCUCAACCGUGGAGGGUCAUUGGAAACUGGGGGACUUGAGUACAGAAGAGGAAAGCGGAAUUCCAAGUGUAGCGGUGAAAUGCGUAGAGAUUUGGAGGAACACCAGUGGCGAAGGCGGCUUUCUGGUCUGUAACUGACGCUGAGGCGCGAAAGCGUGGGGAGCAAACAGGAUUAGAUACCCUGGUAGUCCACGCCGUAAACGAUGAGUGCUAAGUGUUAGGGGGGUUUUCCCGCCCCCCUUAGUGCUGCAGCUAACGCAUUAAGCACUCCGCCUGGGGAGUACGGCCGCAAGGCUG
rnacentral:rRNA from 1 species